GGUGGCGAGCGGCGGACGGGUGAGUAAUGCCUAGGAAUCUGCCUGGUAGUGGGGGAUAACGCUCGGAAACGGACGCUAAUACCGCAUACGUCCUACGGGAGAAAGCAGGGGACCUUCGGGCCUUGCGCUAUCAGAUGAGCCUAGGUCGGAUUAGCUAGUUGGUGAGGUAAUGGCUCACCAAGGCGACAAUCCGUAACUGGUCUGAGAGGAUGAUCAGUCACACUGGAACUGAGACACGGUCCAGACUCCUACGGGAGGCAGCAGUGGGGAAUAUUGGACAAUGGGCGAAAGCCUGAUCCAGCCAUGCCGCGUGUGUGAAGAAGGUCUUCGGAUUGUAAAGCACUUUAAGUUGGGAGGAAGGGCAUUAACCUAAUACGUUGGUGUCUUGACGUUACCGACAGAAUAAGCACCGGCUAACUCUGUGCCAGCAGCCGCGGUAAUACAGAGGGUGCAAGCGUUAAUCGGAAUUACUGGGCGUAAAGCGCGCGUAGGUGGUUCGUUAAGUUGGAUGUGAAAUCCCCGGGCUCAACCUGGGAACUGCAUUCAAAACUGUCGAGCUAGAGUAUGGUAGAGGGUGGUGGAAUUUCCUGUGUAGCGGUGAAAUGCGUAGAUAUAGGAAGGGACACCAGUGGCGAAGGCGACCACCUGGACUGAUACUGACACUGAA
rnacentral:rRNA from 1 species